CAUUUAUUUUUCCCGACAAUCUCUCUUUCUCUCUUUUGUCGAGAGCGGCGAUGGCUAACACGAGAUUUUGUCCGACGAUUUUGGCGAUUGAUGAUAGAUUUAAGGAAGAAAUUAUGGUGUACGAGUGUGUGUUCGGCCGGAUUCGUCAUCUCUAGAGACGCUGCUCACCAUCGGUAAUGGGAGAUUAAGCAAAUCGUAGAUCCAUAACUUCCGAAUCAGAGAGUAAUCGAUGAAGGAAGCUCCAGUUUGUUUCUAAUGGAAGUGCCUGAGAACAAGAGACGUUUAUCAAUCGUAAAAGGCCUUGUCAUAGCAAGGCGUAAUGCUGGUCUUAACUCAACAUUUAGAAUUAGAAGGCUUUUCGGUGGAGUGGGCAAUGGUGUAACGUCAAGCUUGUGCAACUACUUUAAUGUCUCUGCGCAAUGGUGUUCAUUGGUUGUAAUGUUUCUAGUACUCUCUUGAUUGAUUGUACAUUUUCAAUGUCUUGUACCGAGUAAAUCAAACAUGUAUUGUAAACAAAAACAUAUAUGUAUUGUUUUACAAAAUUGAAAUUUUUCCUUAAGAACUCCACCAUUGGAGAAGACAAAA